UGCGCGAUCCGUCGCCGCUCGCGGGCCAAGUUUUGUGAACCUUAUCACUUAAAGGAAGGAGAAGUCGUAACAAGGUUUCCGUAGGUG
rnacentral:rRNA from 1 species